rfam:Solanum lycopersicum cultivar Heinz 1706 chromosome 9, whole genome shotgun sequence.
GGAAGCCUUUGAGGAAAUAAUCUCAAUAGUGAAUAGAACCUAUACCUUAGGGAUUGACAUGCUGCGAGUCCUCUUGCAAUAGAGGGGUGCCUUCAGGACAGGUGGUUCAUGGUUGUUGUCAGCUCGUGCCGUUAGGUGUUGGGUUAAGUCCCGCAACGAGCGCAACCCUAGUGUUUAGUUGCCAUCGUUGAGUUUGGAACCCUGAACAGACUGUUGGUGAUAUCCGGAGGUAGGUAUGGAUGACGUAAGUCAUCAUUCCCCUUAUGCCCUGGGCAACACACGUGCUAUAAUGGACGGGACAAAGGGUCGUGAUCCUGCUAGGGUGAUCUAACCCCAAAAACCCAUCCUCUGUUCACAUUGUAGGUUGCAACUCGCCUGCAUGAAGCUAGAAUCGCUAGUAAUCGUCGCUCAGCCAUACGGCGGUGAAUUCUUUCU